rnacentral:lncRNA from 1 species
UACAAAAUAGUUACCUCAUAGAGUAUUGCGCUCUAAUUGCUCUCAUCUUCUACAGAUCAUCGAAUGGAGUUAAGCAAACAUCAAGGGGAAACUAAAGGGGUAGAUCAUCUUCUUCUACAUCAUCUGGGAGAGAUAAAUUGGGGAGUUCCAUGAAACUCAGUAAGGAAAGUAGUAUUAAAUCAGCACUAUUAACAUUUUUAAA